ensembl:lncRNA
GAUGAAGGCGUUCUGGAGCAGGACCAGAAAGACCACGACCAAGCAGCCUUAAGAUCUUAGGCAACGUCUCCCUCAGUUCAAAGGUCCCUCUCUAUCUCCCUACACAUCCACCAACCACUGGAACACAUCUCCAAAGUUCUGCCGGGCCAGCUCAGCUUCCCCUCAGAAGAAGUUCCACCAGAUGAAGGAGCCUUUUGAGAGGCAGCUGGCAUCGUGAUUGGACUGUACUUUGGUCUGUUCCAAUCCAGCUUCAGCUCCAGAGACGGCAGGCGGGACGAGUCAACGGAGGCCGGGUGGACGAAGACCAAAGAACUACAGAUUCUUCACAACCUGCUCAAACUCUUGGUACAGGACCUCACCACACGGGUCAAGAAGGUUUCCGUCUCCUUUCUACUCUGAAGCUCACCUUCUCCUGCUCAAACUGCUGACAAAUGUUUCUGCUGCUCUAAAGUCUGGUCUCCAGAACUUCCUAAAAACUCUCAAAGUCUCUUCUGCUGCAGGUUGCUUUGUAGAACUGUUCCAGAAAACCUCACUAAACCACAUGGAGGG